GAAGUAGAACAUGUAAUCGCGGCUGGCAGGACUGAAAAGGGCCAGGUGAGGAAAGUCCGGGCUUCACAGGGCAGGAUGCCGGAUAACAUCCGGCGGAGGCGACUCCAGGGAAAGUGCAACAGAGAGAUACCGCCAGGCAAUGCCUGGUAAGGGUGGAAAGGCAGUGUAAGAGACUACCGUUUCUCUGGUAACAGAGAAAGCCAUGUAAACCCCAUCCGAAGCAAGACCGAAUAGAAAACCAUGUGGCGGCCCGUCACGUUUUCAGGUUGGUCGCUGGAGGGCACUGGCGACAGUGUCACUGGAUAGAUGAUUACACGAGACAUAACCCGGCUUAUCGUUCUGCUUCGCGU
rnacentral:RNase_P_RNA from 1 species